GAAUGCUGGAUUGACCCUGAACACGCCCGAUCCUGUCUGAUCUCAGAAGCUAAGCAGAGUCGGGCCUGGUUAGUAGUUGGAUGGGAGACCACCCAGGAAGACCAGGUGCUGUAGGCG
rnacentral:rRNA from 1 species